AGAUAGUACAGCUUCCACAGGAGCAAGGGAUGUCUGAGCACAAGUGGCUGAGUUCCGAGUGACUUUAUGAAGCACUUUCUACCUUCCUCUCCGGCAUGAAAACAGGGAUUCUGCACCUGCAUCAUGGACAGUCUGGCAAAAGCCUCUGCUCUGCCUCCGGGGACAAGAAACUAGAGCAAAUAACCGUUUUGAAAUUAGAUCCUGGCAAAAUUACCAACAAUCAAUGAUGGAAACUGAAGGGAGAUUGAUUUAAAUCUUCAAUGACAGUUGUACAGAAGUUGAAGAAACACGUCAUCUUUCCAAAGAAGAGUGAGUAGCUUGGUUGGUGGUACCCUAAAAUUAGGGCAUGAUUAAGGCAUACCUCGGAGAUACUGAGGGUUUGGUUCCAGUCCACCUCAAUAAAGUGAGUUACACACAACUAUUUUGGUUUCCUAGUGCACAUAAAAGUCAUGUUUAUACUAUACUGUAGUCUAUUAAGUGUGCAAUAGCAUUAUAUCUAAAAAAAGUACUACCUUAAUUAAAAAUACUUUAUUGCUGAAAAAUGCUGACAUAGAGACUUGAAGUGAGCACACAUUGUUGGAAAACUGGCACCAAUAGAUUUGCUCGAGGCAGGGUUGCCACAAACUCAAAUCUUCAGUUUAUUAACAUAAAUCAGUAUCUGCAAAGCACAGUAAAGCAACAUGGAAUAGAGCAAGAUAUACCUGUAUUAUUAUGCUGUUGUCGAUAUUGCUAUGGAUUUGCUUAAUUUCAGAUUUGCUGUCCUAAUAAUAUUAGCACUGAAUAGUUGAGGGAAAAAUUUCAUUUUCUGCCUUACUGCUUAUAAAAUAUGUUAAUAGGUAAAAAUAGAAAUCAAAGCCAUCUUUUCUUUUUUAUGUGAAAUUACAGAGUACAAGUUUAAAAAACAAGUUUUCCUUUAACUCUAGAGGCAGACCUAAAUCUUGAGGGGCAUAAAAAAAGAUUUCACAUGGGAAGCUGGAUUUUUAGGCUAAUGAAUGCAACUCUAUUUUUGAUACUAUGCUGUGUGUUUAUAUAAAAUAGAGGAGCAUUUUAUGCCAAUUAGUGGCUUGCAAACCCUAUACUUUUUCCAGCAAGGACUAAGCUUGAAAAACUUGAGAAGUUAAUACAGAGAAGCGUUGGCAGUGGAUCAUGCGGUUGGCUUGACUCAAGGCAACAAAGCUUUAGCAUAAAUUAGUUUUUAUUUGUUAAAAGAAAAACAAAUUCUGUUUGUUUUUAUAAUACAGUUUGUUGGUUCUUUUAAUUUGGGGGAAAAUUUGGGGAAUUCCAGUUCUCAGAGAAGUGAGAAGCUGAGCUCAGCAUGAGCCAGGCCCCGGCUUCCAGGCCCUGUGUAAACAGCCACAUGCGUCUUCCUCAAUACACCUCGGUUUGAGGCAGCAGGGCGGGCCUGUUAUGCCUGGACCUCAGCUGAACCAAGAGUCCCAGCCAGCCAAUGACUGCUGUGUGAUCCACAGUAGAUUAUUCAGACCACCAAAGGGAGCCUGUGGCUCUUCUCCCACCAAUCUUUAGCCCUGACUUUUAUGUAGUGGCUGAGGAAAGCAAAAUUUAUAGAAUGCUAUUACUUUGAUGGAGAGAUGAUCUCAUCCUUUUCAUUAGUUUUGCAGAUAAGAAAAGUGAAAAUUGGACUCAGAAUUUGGCUUAGUCAAAGCAGACUGGUACAGUACCUGACAAACUCAAUUCCCAAGUCAAAGGUCCUUGAAUAUAAGGUGUACAAUCAGUAGACUCCUUUUUCAGAUGUCUAUGUGAGAACUACAGUAAAUGAGAGGUGUGUGUGUGUGUGUGU
rnacentral:lncRNA from 1 species